GAUUAAUUGCAGGAAGAAACAUGGGAAACUUUUUAUUUGUUAAUUGAGGAGGGAUGUUGAUUAGUGAAUGCGUGAAGAUUUAUUUAAAUGGAAUAUACAAAUCCGACAAUUAGCUGCGGGACAGUCACUGCGUAUAUAGUGUAGUGUGUAAUCCUUGUGUUCAUGGAGUGACUCGUGUGGAAAACAAAGAUGUCUGAAAAUUUUGAGACGUUCAUCAUCAUCAUGAUCACGGCAGAGAAUUGAAGAGGGAUUUUGAAAUUGCACUGAAUAGACUUUUUAAAAAGAGUUUAGCCAACAUUGGGUAAGGAACUGAAGAUUGAGCAUGCAUGUCUGUUGGUUAAGAUAACUUCUAGUGCUAUUUGAUAUCGGCAAAAUACUUGUUUUUACCUCAUAUUUUAAACCACAAAAUGCGGGUUUCCUUUUUACCCAAUACAGAGUAUCAGAUUCCAUUAAAUAUCCUUUUACCUUUUUACCUGUCGGAGUGUCAAGUUAUUCCAACACAGAGUAUUCAAUCUAUUUUUGCAUUAUCUUCUACAACGGAGGAAAAGUUAUGACAGGAUUAAUAAUUAGUUAAUAGCACUGUGACUAGUCAAGUAUACAAGAUCAAAUGCAGCUGCAAUAGCUUAUUGAAUAUUAAAAGUAAUGGCUGCUAAGAUAGACAACGAUUCUCGUAUCCAGAGUAUAUUAUCCACGCUCGAAAUACUAGAUGGCCAAAAGAAAAAGAAAACGAAAUAUGCAAAGAAGCAAAUCCAAUCCCUACGUAACCCAACCUUCUCAUCUGCUUCAAAGACACAAGGUUCCCUCUCUGGUGGGAAAGAAAGUAGGAUGGUGCCUAGAGCACAUGCUAGAGACAACAAAGAUAAAGUGGUCGGUAAAUAUUCGACUUUCCUUGCUCAAAUCGUGGCGGAUCCCAGCAGUAAGCAGCAAAGGCCACAUUGGAAAAGGGAACGAAAAGAUGAUUUACCUUUUGAUCAAGACCAUGGUCCAGGAGGAGUUGAGCAGGAGAAUUCCCGAAAACGACGAGAUACACCAAGGUUGUCGUUAGCUGAUGAGAGUGGCACUUCAGGAAACAACCAACGGUUUCAGGGUGCAGAAGUUGUCCAAAUUGGAAAACGCGUAAUGCCAUCUAUUAAUCAGAAACAAUGUAAACCCAUCCCGUUAAGGGUGGAAGAUGGGACUCAUCUAAAUGAUAGACCGGAGCAAACUGAAGAAGAGGAUUUUACUUCCAGCUCAAGCAGCAAUCCAAGAUGGCAACAAAUCGUAAAAUCGCGGUUGAAACCGAAGCAGCUCGGUGACGCAGUUGCUUCAAGAGUUGCAGAAGUUGCCAAAACUAAGAUGAAAUCUCGACGCAACCGAUUAAGCUCAUCCGAUCUGGAUAAAAGCGAGGAAGAUGAUAGUUUCAAUAACCAUCUGUCAUCGUUGAAGGUGAUCAAUGCUGCGAUAUCCUUCAAGCGACAGAGAUUUAGAAAACAACGACAAGAACGAAAGCUACAUAUUUCAAGACUGUUCAGAGUAGUAGCCCGUCUUAUUGUUAUCAUCAAGAGGAUUUGUGAAGUUCAUUUCGUUGAGAGGGGGACAGAAGAUGUGGAGAUAUCAUUCGCCCAGCUUGUAUCCACUAGACAAAGAACAGAUCUCAUGUUUGACGUCACAGAAUACAGAGCUAAGAGGAAGUGGCAACUGAUGUCAGAAACAAAACGCAUCUUACAGAAGUCUAUCCGAAGCGAACAAGAUGUUCAACAUAUAGAGACAACCCUUAGGGAGAUGUCAGCUUUGGGGGAAUACCCAGCGUCCAUGCAGAGAAGUAUAGCCCGAGUAGGAUGGUAUGAAUCAUAUGGACCGAAUAGGGUCAUAGUAAGAGAGGGCCACAUGCCUGAUGCUUUCUACUUCAUUUUAUCUGGUUCGGCAAUAGUAAGUGUACCUAUGGCGGAUGAAGCCAAACCGAAGAUCCUAGCCAUAUUACUACGGGGCGACAGCUUUGGGGAAUUAGCGAUUCUGAAUCAAAGCAAACGGACAUCAACUGUAACCACUAGAGAGAAUGUUGAAAUGUUUGUUAUCUCGGCAGAGGAUUUUACAAAUAUUGUGAUGUCUGGUAACAACAGGAUGCUCCAAGAUCCACAAACAAUGACAUUCAUGAGGAGCGUUGAAUUCUUGAAAGGAUGGCCGCUGAAGAAAAUCGAAAAUAAUCCAAAGAAAUGUGUUUUCAACUUCUUUCGAAAAGACACCGUUCUUGUUAGGGAUAGUAGGUUGUCGGAAUGGAUUUACGUCGUCAAAUCGGGAAGCUGUUCUGUUCUGAAGCAACUAAAGUACGUUGAACCCAAACUGAAUCCAAAGAAGGAGAGAACAAAUAAAGAUGAAAGAAUGACGUCAUCGAGGCACAAUCAACUCCUAUUGGAUCGAGAGCGUUCGUUCAUGAAUCGACGGAUGAUUGCUGCGCAUGCUCAGAGGGAAUCCCUGUAUAAGAGAGGAAUGGACCUCCCCUAUCUAAUGAUGAACGAAGAAAUAACAGAACGACUGGCACCGAACAGAAAUAGGAGUAAUACUAUUCUUACUGGCGAAGAUGGAACAGAAAAUAUCGAAGAGGAGAAAAGAGAGGAGAAAUGGAUGGAUGAACUGGAAGAAGGGGGCGCCCUCAACGACAUGAAGGACAGUUUGUUAUAUCCACUGAUAGAAGUAGAAAAGGAAGACGAAGAAUUGUCCCCCAAAUAUGGACCACAACGUACUUUUGCCCAUGAUCUCAACCAGCGUGCCCUACAAAGAGUCAACCAAAAUGAGCAUGACUGAUUCCCGCCCAGUUUUUGUAUGCAUCCAAACAUUGCAAAAAGGAGGAGUCUUCGGAUUAGUGGACGUUUUGUUCAGUGAACAGCCAAGCCUAAGUCUGAUAAGCAACGGGGCAGAAUGCAUGGUCAUGUCCAAACAUUUCUUUCUUCAACACGCAAACGAUGACAUGCUACAUCGAGUCAAGAUAUCGAUGAUGCCCUUUGCCAAGGAAGAUGAAAUCCAGCGCAGUUUGGAGAACCAGUUAAAAUGGGAAGUCUAUCGAACCAUUACCAUGGAAACAACUCUGACAAGAAUGCAGAUGAAGAAGUUUUACACAAAAUAAUAUCAGCAUAGGCUUACAUUGUCAAUGGAAUAUGUUGAGAACAGUGGCGCAGAACAUCGUACUUUGAUAAGGGGGAGUGGAUGGCAAGAUGAACCAAAAGUGAAUUUGUAAUCAAAUGAAAAAUAAGGUUUUGUAAUAAAAAAAAAGUAUUUACAUG